rnacentral:rRNA from 1 species
UACGUAGGAGGCGAGCGUUGUCCGGAUUUACUGGGCGUAAAGGGCGCGUAGGCGGUCGUGACAAGUCACUUGUGAAAUCUCCGGGCUUAACUCGGAACGGUCAAGUGAUACUGUCGGACUAGAGUACAGAAGGGGCAGCUGGAAUUCUCGGUGUAGCGGUGAAAUGCGUAGAUAUCGAGAGGAGCACCUGCGGCGAAGGCGGGUUGCUGGGCUGAUACUGACGCUGAGGCGCGAAAGCCAGGGGAGCGAACGGG